GGUUCGGUGGUGUAGUGGUUAUCACAUCUGUCUCACAUCAAUCCUCGUUGUGCACAGGAGGUCUCCGGUUCGAAACCGGGUCGAAUCA